rnacentral:rRNA from 1 species
AUUGAACGCUGGCGGCAGGCUUAACACAUGCAAGUCGAGCGAGCGGCGGACGGGUGAGUAUUGUCUGGGCAACUGCCUGAUGGAGGGGGAUAACUACUGACAAUGGUAGCUAAUACCUAAUACCAUAAGAUGUGCCCUGAUGGGAUUAGCUAGUAGGUGGGGUAAUGGCUCACCUAGGCGACGCUCCCUAGCUGGUCUGAGAGGAUGACCAGCAACACUGGAACUGAGACACGGUCCAGACUCCUACGGGAGGCAGCAGUGGGGAAUAUUGCACAAUGGGCGCAAGCCUGAUGCAGCCAUGCCGCGUGUGUGAAGAAGGCCUUCGGGUUGUAAAGCACUUUCAGCGAGGAGGCGUUACUCGCAGAAGAAGCACCGGCUAACUCCGUGCCAGCAGCCGCGGUAAUUC